UUCUUCAUUUUCUGCCAUAAGAAUGGUCAUCACCUACACAUCUGAGAUUCUUUGUAUUUCUCCCAGAAACCUUGAUUCCAGCCUUUGAUUCAAGCAGCCUGGCAUUUCACGUGAUGUCCUCCACAUACAAGUUGACAACAUACAUCCUUGUCAUACUCUUUCCUAUCUGAAAGUUGUUCCAUGUUCAAUUCUAGCGGUUGCUUCUUGGCCCACAGGUUCCUCAGCAGACAAGUAAGAUGAUCUGGUACUCCCAUCCCUUGCCACAUUUUGCUGUGAUCCACACAAAUACUUUAGUGUAUUCAACGAGGCAGAAGUAAAUGUUUUUUUUUUCUGAAACUUUCUUGCUUUCUCGGUAAUCUGGUAAAUGCUGGCAAUUUGGUCUCUAGUUCCUCUGCCUCUUUGAAAACCCGCCUGUUGUUCUGUUAAUUCUCAGUUCCCAAAGUCUAGCUGGCAGAAUCUUAAGCUUAAGCUUGCUGAUGUGUGAAACGAGGGCAGUUAUUUUGUAAUUUGGACAUUGUCCUUCUUUAGGAUUGGGACACAAAUGGGUCUUUUGUGAUUCCCUGGUUCCUAUUAUGUUUGCGAGCCUGUUGAGGACAGCAUUUUAACACCAUCAUCUUUUAGGGUUUCAAAUAUCUCAGCUGGAACUCCAUUCCUGAAGCUACUGAUUGAAUAUGGGGUGAAGAAGACCGAAGACUAGAGGAUAGGACUCGGGUUGUAAAUAUGAGCAAUCAGAUGGUUCAUUAUCUACAGAAGUUGGAAAGUUAGGAGGAAAUUUCAGAGUUCUAGGGCAUGAAGUCUAAAGAGUCCUUGUGGUGGAGAAGAUCGAGGGAAUGAUCCUUCCUAUGCAUGCCCGAAGUGUAACGAGUUGGAUAUCUGGAUAAUUGAGGAGGGUGAGGAAAUAAAAGCUAAAAUGUUUAAAGAACACAAUAAGCCCACUGAAGCCCCAAAGUGUGAAAGCUUGGAGCCAGUAUUCCUAGGGAAAGAAAAGAGAAUGAGAUUAGCUGGAGGUCACGAAAAUUUUGAGAUACACUAUAGGUUGCUAAAGCCAACUGUGUGGCCUGGGGAAGGACCAGUUGGUUGGAUCUCUACCUUUUAUAUGCAGGAUCUUUCAAUGGAGAAGAAAUUAUCUUGGUGUUCUUUCUCCAAACACUGGAAGACUGGCAGGAGAGGUGAUGGGGAAUUUGGUACAGAAGCUGGACUGAUCACCAGCUAAAUAGGUACAUCCCAAUGCUUGUAAGCUGAUUGACUGACGUGAAUGACUGUUGACAGUAGUAUUUUAAUUUAGAAUACCAUUUGACACAGAUUAGAAACUCUGACCCUGAACUUAACCACCUGCUCAGGUCCUCUAGGUUUAAAGGCAAUCAAUGACCCAGCACUCAAACCCUCAAAUAGGAAGCCCAUUCUUUUGGCCAGUAUUCACUUCUGUACGAGACAGCUAUUCUGUUUUAACUAAACGACCUUCCUGAGAUCCGAAGCAAUCAGUUUGCUUCCUGAUUGUGUCUCUCCUAACAUGCAUAAUUACAAAGGUUAUUAUUAGUCAUAAAAUCACCCAGCCCUUUAAACAAUUCCGCUCAGGAAUUGAGAUCCUUAACACUGAAGGUGAUGAAGACAUUCAGAGGAAGAGCUUCGCUGCCCUCCAAAGGCUUUGCUGGUAGAAUGUGAUCACACAAGAAAAUACAGACAACAGUUAAUUGUGUCAUUGCAAAAAUACUGGAGAUUUAAAGUGACUCCACAUCUCCCAUGGAGGGGAUUUCAGAUCCUACUUAUGAAAAUAUUGGGGAUAGUUGGCUCUUCUGGCUGCACAGUCAUUCCAAGUAGGACCAAGAAAUGUUUCAGAGGUCACACAGGGGGGCCUUCGGUAGGAUUCUCUUCCCUUGCAAAUUUGAUGAGGAGAGGGGAGAGAAAGAAAUCAGUCUUUCUUCAGUCAGCUCUUCAGGUGCAGAUGAUUGAAUAUGUCAGAGUCAGAUGACUCCUCUCAUCCCUAUAGGAUUCAGCAAGCAAGUCUAAAUCCAGUACACUUGCUUUUAUGGGGAAAUGGUAUUUUUCCGCUAUUUUUUAGCUAGAAAUAUGUGAAGUGGCUCUUUUUAAAAUACAGUCUUCUUAAAAAAUAUUGGAUUUUAGAGGACAUUUGGUCAGCAGAUUGUGAAUCAAACUGAGACGAUGUGGUACAGGAAAAAAAAGUGGAGUUUUAAAGAGUCUGAGUUUAGAUCCUACAUCUUUCACUUCCUGUGUGGUCUGGGGUAAGUCAUUUAAUUGUGCGGGAUUUGGUCUCCUUAGCUAUGAAAUGAGGAGAUUGGGUUUGGAGGCCUCUGAAGGUUCCUUCCGGCUUUACAUUAAUGAAUUUGUGAUAGUCAGGUUCUGGGAAAACCUAAUCAACCAACCUUUCCAGAAAAUCAAACUCUACUGAAUUUAGUCUCUCUGGGCCAGGAUUUGCAAUUGUCUGCAACAUGCUUCGUAAAGUAUCCACUCAAUGCACUGAAAACCCAUCUCUGUUGUUGCUUUUAGCUUCUGGGGGUGACUAUCUGCUACUAAAGCUGUUCAUUGGUGCUGCUUUUUUGCUACAUUACUGACCCACCUUCGGAUCACAAGGGUUCUCAAUGGCGCUCUUUAUGAUACUUCUUGUGUGGAAGAACCCAGAAAUUCUAUCAAAAUACUGCCUAAUAAAAUCUGCAUGGAGAAGAAACGAGGAAAAUUCUGCCUAAAUAAGUCUCCCCAUUCCCUCUGCCCGAGGUAGACAUUUAGCUACAGGCAGAUAUUAUCUCCAUCAAUAGAUCCGGGUGGUACCAUGUUGGAUUUGGAGUGAGGAAGAUCCCAGUUCAGAUUCUACCUCCGACACUUCAGCUCUGUGAUCUUGGAUGACACUUACAGAAAGUUGAGGCCCAGAGAAGUUGUGGCUCAAUGGGGGAGCAAUGAAGAUGACCAAGGGAGAGAACAGAAGAGAUGAGAAGGAUGAGGACAAACUCAUGGCCAACAGCCACAUCAGGGAGAAACACAGGAACCAACAGAGGAGAGAAAGAAAUGUGGGGACUCUGGACUGACCCAGGAAACACUGGAUUUGGAGUUCCUGAAGAUUUAUUAGAAUGUGAAUGUCAAUACGGAUUUUCAUGCAGUGCAAAUAGCUUAGCUAAGAGACAUUUUGCAUCGAACAAAAAGGUACUUCAGAGAAAGUAAAGAAUAAGGGGACAGGGAUAACCCAGUUAGCCUCUGGAUGGCUGAUCAUCAAAAGGGGAGUGUCACCACCUGGCACUGGAGAGACUCCAUUCCCCCUUUCAUUAAGGACAAUUGCAGAAAGCUGGGGAAGGGCACGGAAUGAUUGCAAGGCGCCACAAGCAUUCUGACAGGUCCCAGGAAGCUUUGUCCUUUUCUCUCCAAGGUCAGAAUGGGAAGUCUUGUUCCUCUGCAGUCUUGUCUUUGGAAGGCUGGUAUCAGAACCCGGACAGAGGCGUCCUAUUUCAUGUCAUUGAGACCCAGCCAUUUGUUGGAAGCAGAUAAAUAACUCCGAAUCUGAAGGGAGCAUAACCAGAGAACUUCCAGGGAAUAAAUCAUCUUUGCCCAAAUGUUACAAAUAACCACCACAAACAAAACGUAGCCUUCUGGGAGCUGGCUCCGCAUCGGCUUUGCUGGGCAGCCCGGCUCGUUUUGUUCCUUACGCCAAAUCUUCCAACAAAGGGUGGUCUAAGAUAUUAAGGGGACAAAAGCCAAUAUUGAGAAACUCUCUGGACUUUGUUUAGAAUCCACCUUUUAAAAAUGACCUCAUUGACUGUUUCCUGGAGUGAGCACCGUGUGUGGCCAGAAAGUCAAAUAAUUCUCUUAUUUGUAACUGCUCAUUAUGGUGACUCGCUGCCGUAAUGGCCACCCAGACAUAUCUGCCCCAUUUCCCACGCUGGCCCUCCCAUCUCAUUAGUUACCUUAAGACUAAGCACAACUGAUCACUCUGGCCGAGGGCUCUCUUUAAAUGCCUGCGAGACAAACCCGGCUCUGAACUGCGCCUUGUGGAAAGUCUGAAAACCCCAUCAGCCAAGCAGCGAUCCCACUAAUCUCUUCCAGGGGAGUGAGAGCCAUACUUCUGCUGACCUGGGAAUUAUGGCAGUUAGUUCCUAUUUUACUGCCUACCUGGUAACAAGCCACGAGAUCGAUCGGACACUUGGGCGUCUUUCAGAGGGAAAACAAGUCAAGGACAUUUCUUUCCACCAAAAAAAAAA